AUUGAACGCUGGCGGCAUGCCUUACACAUGCAAGUCGAACGGUAACGGGCCUUCGGGUGCCGACGAGUGGCGAACGGGUGCGUAAUACAUCGGAACGUGCCCGAUCGUGGGGGAUAACGAGGCGAAAGCUUUGCUAAUACCGCAUACGAUCUACGGAUGAAAGCAGGGGACCGCAAGGCCUUGCGCGGACGGACCGGCCGAUGGCAGAUUAGGUAGUUGGUGGGAUAAAAGCUUACCAAGCCGACGAUCUGUAGCUGGUCUGAGAGGAUGAUCAGCCACACUGGGACUGAGACACGGCCCAGACUCCUACGGGAGGCAGCAGUGGGGAAUUUUGGACAAUGGGCGCAAGCCUGAUCCAGCCAUGCCGCGUGCAGGAUGAAGGCCUUCGGGUUGUAAACUGCUUUUGUACGGAACGAAAAGCCUUCUUUUAAUACAGGAGGGUCAUGACGGUACCGUAAGAAUAAGCACCGGCUAACUACGUG
rnacentral:rRNA from 1 species